rnacentral:rRNA from 1 species
AAUAGGCUAAUUAAGAGCGUAAGGGGAAUGCCUUGGCUCUCAGAGGCGAUGAAGGACGUGAUAAGCUGCGAUAAGCUGUGGGGAGUGGCACAAACACUUUGAUCCGCAGAUUUCCGAAUGGGGCAACCCGGCAUAUUGAAGAUAUGUCACACUGUAAAGUGAGCAAACCUGGUGAACUGAAACAUCUAAGUAACCAGAGGAAUAGAAAACAAAAGUGAUUCCGCUAGUAGUGGCGAGCGAACGUGGAACAGCCCAAACCUAUGUUGUUACGGCAAUAUAGGGGUUGUAGGACCUCAACAUUUAAUGCUAAUAGAACUAGAAUUUACUGGAAAGUAAAA